AAAAAGGGUUUCUGUCACAAGAGGCACACGUAGGACAGCUCUUGUUCUUUGCAGAAUCAACAUCAAGAGAUUUUGGAAGUAUAAUUUUUUGGUUCUUGGGUAGCUGGUGAUUGUUGGUCCUGGCACCCUU
ensembl:snRNA